UACAGAGGAUGCAAGCGUUAUCCGGAAUGAUUGGGCGUAAAGCGCACGUAGGCGGCUUUGUAAGUAAGAGGUGAAAGCCCAGAGCUCAACUCUGGAAUUGCCUUUUAGACUGCAUCGCUUGAAUCAUGGAGAGGUCAGUGGAAUUCCGAGUGUAGAGGUGAAAUUCGUAGAUAUUCGGAAGAACACCAGUGGCGAAGGCGGCUGACUGGACAUGUAUUGACGCUGAGGUGCGAAAGCGUGGGGAGCAAACAGG
rnacentral:rRNA from 1 species